GACGAACGCUGGCGGCGUGCCUAAUACAUGCAAGUUGAGCGCUGAAGGUUGGUACUUGUACCAACUGGAUGAGCAGCGAACGGGUGAGUAACGCGUGGGGAAUCUGCCUUUGAGCGGGGGACAACAUUUGGAAACGAAUGCUAAUACCGCAUAAAAACUUUAAACACAAGUUGUAAGUUUGAAAGAUGCAAUUGCAUCACUCAAAGAUGAUCCCGCGUUGUAUUAGCUAGUUGGUGAGGUAAAGGCUCACCAAGGCGAUGAUACAUAGCCGACCUGAGAGGGUGAUCUGCCACAUUGGGACUGAGACACGGCCCAAACUCCUACGGGAGGCAGCAGUAGGGAAUCUUCGGCAAUGGACGAAAGUCUGACCGAGCAACGCCGCGUGAGUGAAGAAGGUUUUCGGAUCGUAAAACUCUGUUGGUAGAGAAGAACGUUGGUGAGAGUGGAAAGCUCAUCAAGUGACGGUAACUACCCAGAAAGGGACGGCUAACUACGUG
rnacentral:rRNA from 1 species